rnacentral:lncRNA from 1 species
CCUCAACAAAACACACCCCUUCCUUCCAGGAAAGGCCUCGUGACUGCCAUGGAGGAAUGACCUUCUCUAACUGAUGUGAAGGGAAAUGGUCCUGUUUGCUUAGUGUUGGCUGUGGAAGGGAACGGUCCUCUCUGCUCAGUGUUAUUUUUCCAUUCGUUCAUAAUUGUGUAUGGUCUUGUUUUCAGGGAUUAGAAAAUGAGUAUCAGGAAGAAGGGCAGCUUCUGGGACAGUUCACGUAUGAUCAGGAUGGGGAGUCGCUCCAGAUGUUCCAGGCCCUGAAAAGACCCGACGACACAGCUUUCCAAAUAGUGGAACUUCGGAUUUUUUCUAACUGGGGCCAUCCUGAGUAUACCUGUCUGUAUCGGUUCAGAGUUCAUGGCGAACCUGUCAAGUGAAGACACUACUCAUUAUUUUUGUACAUUUUUGUAUAUACUGGGACAGCCUGAAACACUGGAAUCCUUCAUGGACGAGGGCAUAUACAAUGAUGGGACAGUGCCACACUCCUUCAAUAAACGUGGCUGCUGGCCAGAGGACGUGAGCGUGUGAUGGGCGCCUUGGCACCACCUGUUGGGUGCUCACUGCCUCUGCAGGUGCAGAGGGGUCAGCAGCAGGAGAAGCGUGUUGAACACGUGGCUCUCAGACACUCCUUGUUUUUAACGGGAAGCUCUUUGCAUUUGCAUUUCCUCGACAAAGGAGCAAAGCAGAGGAAGCUGAGAGUCUGGCGUGUUCUUGAUGCUUUGGUCUUCAGCCUUGCACUGGCUCUUCUAAAGGACUUUUGGAGGGCAGAUAAUUUCAUCUGUUAAAUCCAACACACAUUUCUUUCAGGGAAAAACAAUGUCACCAAAUUUUCAGAGUUCUAAACUCCUUUCCUUCAAGCCGGGAUUUUCCUUUUUUCAGCACCAGUAGGUACUAAGUCUCCAGACGGGGAAAUAACUAAAAUGUGUUUUUCUGCUUUGUUCGCUCUUACUUCUGAGGAAGGUUUCCAGUCAGGACUCGCUGUACCAAUAUCCGUGGAGGAAUAUGGGAGCGUUUUGCUCUCCUUGUAGGCUGAAGUCAGUCUGACUUGAAGGGGGCUGGUUUGGAUCUAAGCAAACACCCAGAUGGGGUUCUCUGGUCUCAGCAAGGCUUUUCCUGUUGGGAGUCACAGUAAACAGAAACCCAAAAAUCUCAUCUUGGGUGUUUUCAGGGCUCGUUUUGAGUUUUGCUGAAUAAGGAGCGCAAGACGCCCUGAGCCUCCCUCUCACUGGUGGUGAUAAGAGGAGCCGUCUGGUGUGUCAGGGUCACGAACCUGUUACAUUUCAGGACGAUCCUUUUUCCUUCAGCAGCAUUUCUUACUGGCUGUGGCUGGACUCUGCCUUUUAUCACAGCUGUCACCAUUCUCACGUGAUUCUUGUGAGACUCUUUGGUUAUAAUUACUAUUUAAUAUUUAGACUAUUUUACUGAGCAGACUUUAUAAUAAAUGAGAUAUCUACAAGGCACUUAAAGUGUUACAGAUGUUUUACCUUAAGAAUUAUUUAAGUUGUGUUAAGACAGUUUUCAGUGUACCGUAAAUGUUGUGUUUUCAGAAAAAGACAAAACGAUGGUGCUGACUGGUUUUCUGUAUAUUGCACAACAGUCCUCAAAUACACUGAUGUAUGAAACUAUUCAUACAUCAAGCAGCAUUUUUUUCACUCUCCUUAGAAUUGGAACUAUGCAGUUAAGGCAGAUAAAAUGUACAGAUGUUUCAUAUAUUACAGGUUACAUAUAUAAAUCAAAAUUUCCUAUAUAAAACUGAUUUGGGAUUUGGGGUGGAAAUAUUUUGAAUAUUAAUUUAUUUUUAAAGAUGCAAGAUAGGACUUUGUGCAAUGUAUUUUUGUAAAUGCUUUUCAAAAUAUCUGUCUUUGGUAGUGCUUCUUCUGCUGCCACCAAAUUGAUAAGAUGCUAUUAAGAGGUUUAAAUAAAGAGUUUUAAUUUUUAAAAGUGCA